AGAGUUUGAUCCUGGCUCAGAGCGAACGCUGGCGGCAGGCUUAACACAUGCAAGUCGAGCGGGCGUAGCAAUACGUCAGCGGCAGACGGGUGAGUAACGCGUGGGAACGUACCUUUUGGUUCGGAACAACACAGGGAAACUUGUGCUAAUACCGGAUAAGCCCUUACGGGGAAAGAUUUAUCGCCGAAAGAUCGGCCCGCGUCUGAUUAGCUAGUUGGUGAGGUAACGGCUCACCAAGGCGACGAUCAGUAGCUGGUCUGAGAGGAUGAUCAGCCACAUUGGGACUGAGACACGGCCCAAACUCCUACGGGAGGCAGCAGUGGGGAAUAUUGGACAAUGGGCGCAAGCCUGAUCCAGCCAUGCCG
rnacentral:rRNA from 1 species